rnacentral:rRNA from 1 species
AUGGAUGAUGCUAAAACUUGCUCCUUCCACCCCACCCAUCUCUCUCUUUACGCUACGCUCGACGCGAACGGGAGUAGAGGGGGCGUCAUCACCGCCUGGGAUCCUGCGCUUUACACCCUCGUUUCCUCGUCCCAAUCCACGUUCUCUCUUAUUGUCGACCUUGUCUCUACCACCUCCGCCCUCUCCUUCUUGGUUACCAACAUCUACGCCCCCUCCGAUCACUCCUGGACUGCUGCUUUCGCCGAUGACCUCCUGAGUGUUGCUUCCUCUAUCAACACGCCCUGGCUAGCGGUCGGUGACUUUAACAUCAUACGCUACGCACACGAGAAGAAUAACUCUAAUUUCGACGCCUCUCGUGCGGCGGCUUUCAAUGGGCUUAUCAAUUCCCUGUCCUGGUUCGAGCUACCACUCUCCGAUCGCCUUUUCACCUGGUCUAACAAA